GGUUCCAUGGUCUAACGGUUAUGACUGCGGAUUCUGAAGAUGUAUUCCGCCAGCGAGGGUUCGACUCCCCCUGGAACCU
rnacentral:tRNA from 1 species